ACUAUUUUGGCAGAUUAGUGCAGUAAAUUUAGAAUUUAUUUAUAUAAUUUAAUUAAUUAUAAAUAGUA
rfam:Aedes albopictus mit-gene for large ribosomal subunit RNA (LST)